ensembl:ncRNA ZC504.11 ncRNA
GGCACCUAUUGUUCAUUGUGGACCCGUACCUCCACCUUUUUGUCUCUCUGUCUCACAACAAAAACACACACA